GUGGGGAAUUUUGGACAAUGGGCGCAAGCCUGAUCCAGCAAUGCUGCGUGCAGGAAGAAUGCCUUCGGGUUGUAAACUGCUUUUGUACGGAACGAAAAGGCUCUGGUUAAUACCUGGGGCUCAUGACGGUACCGUAAGAAUAAGCACCGGCUAACUACGUGCCAGCAGCCGCGGUAAUACGUAGGGUGCAAGCGUUAAUCGGAAUUACUGGGCGUAAAGCGUGCGCAGGCGGUUUUGUAAGACAGACGUGAAAUCCCCGGGCUCAACCUGGGAAUGGCGUUUGUGACUGCAAAGCUGGAGUGCGGCAGAGGGGGAUGGAAUUCCGCGUGUAGCAGUGAAAUGCGUAGAUAUGCGGAGGAACACCGAUGGCGAAGGCAAUCCCCUGGGCCUGCACUGACGCUCAUGCACGAAAGCGUGGGGAGCAAACAGGAUUAGAAACCCUUGUAGUCC
rnacentral:rRNA from 1 species